rnacentral:lncRNA from 1 species
UUCCGUUAAUUCCUUUAAGUUUCAGCCUUGCGACCAUACUCCCCCCGGAACCCAAAGACUUUGAUUUCUCAUAAGGUGCCAGCGGGGUCCUGUCAGGGACCAUAAUUAGGGGUACCCUCAAGACGCCUAAUUCUCAGCUGGUAACCCCCAUCAGCAUAAAGCUGCAAAGGCCUGAUGGGUUUGAUUAAGUCAGGGAUCAGUCCAUACGAGCGACUUGUUCACGCCACGCCCGAGCCUAGCCUCGGGCGAGGGCAGCCGACCCUAAGAUGACUCCGUCUCGCCCGAGGUCUCCUCUUUCACGGCAGACGCAUCACCGGCUCGCCCGAGGCCCCGCCUUCGAUAAGAAGUAACCCUGACUAAAUCACCGCGCCAACCGCCCAAAUCCCUGGGGCCUUCAACGCAAAAGGUAAGACUGACGGGUAGCCAGGCUUGGCCAAAAGCGCCAGAGGAAACUCCGCCUCGCCCGACCCAGGGCUCGGACUCGGGCUAAGGCCCCGGAAGACGGCGAACUCCGCUCCGCCCGACCCAGGGCUCGGACUCGGGCUAAGGCCCCGGAAGACGGCGAACUCCGCUCCGCCCGACCCAGGGCUCGGACUCGGGCUAAGGCCCUGGAAGACGGCGAACUCCGCUCCGCCCGACCCAGGGCUCGGACUCGGGCUAAGGCCCCGGAAGACGGCGAACUCCGCUCCGCCCGACCCAGGGCCCGGACUCGGGCUAAGGCCCCGGAAGACGAUGACCUCCGCCUCGCCCGACCAGGGGCUCGGACUCCGCCUCGGCCUCUGCCGACCGAUCUCCGCCUCGCCCGACCCAGGGCUCGGACUCUGCCUCUGUCUUGCAGGACGGACUCGACCUCAGGCUUCGGAGGAGCCUCCACGACGCCCGACCUAGGACACGAGGCCGCCACGUCAACAGGAAGCGUCAUCAUCACCCUGCCCUGAGCCGACUUGGGUCGCAGGGGACAAGACCGGCGUCCCAUCUGGCCAGCUCCGCCAGAUAGGCAAUGAUGGCGUCUCACUAGGCCAUGACGACGGCAGCUCCCAGCUCCCUUACGAAAGCAGGGAGACGUCAGCAAGAGCACAGCUGUUCCAACAGCUGUCCCUCCGUCAAGCUCCAUGGCUUCUCCAACAGCCACGACGCCACAUCAACAGGGUGCCAAGAUCUCUCCGGCUGCCACCUUGGCAUGUACUUAGGGCCCUAGCUCUCCCUUGCUGGACACGUAGCGCCUUGCUACACCCCCAUUUUGUACACCUGGCUCCUCUCCUUACGCUUAUAAAAGGGAGGACCAGGGCCUUCUUAGAGAAGGUUGGCCUCGCGGGAACGAGGGCAGGGGCAGGCGCUCUCUUGAGGCCGCUCGCUCCCCUCACCCGUGCGGACGCUUGUAACCCCCUACUGCAAGCGCACCCGACCUGGGCGCGGGACGAACACGAAGGCCGUGGGAACCUCCGACUCUCACACUCUCCCUCUCUCGACCCGGCUCCGGCCACCGACCUCGCUCUCUCUCACUCCCCCCUUCGCGCUCGCCCACGCGCUCGACCCGUCUGGGCUGGGGCACGCGGCACACUCACUCGUCGGCUCGGGGACCCCCCGGUCUCGAAACGCCGACAGUUGGCGCGCCAGGUAGGGGCCCGCUGCGUGUUGACGAGCGAUUUCCCAUCAAGCUCCAGAUGGGCAGUCUCCAACGAUCUCUUCAACCCGGGACGGUGCUCCGUUUCGGGAGCCUCGAGUUCAUGUCGCUCGACAGCGGCUCCGACAUGGUACUCCUUCCACCGUCGCGCGACGACAAUGGUGGCGGACAGCCCACCCGCCGGCGGCGGAACCGACGACGUCUUUCCCGCGUGGGGGAAGGAAAACUUUCGAGCUCGCCCCAUCCUCUCCCUCGCCAUCGGAGGAGGAGGAAGCGGGGCAACCAAGGCCGAGCGGGAGGCUGCGCUCCGACGGCUGUCGAGCAAACCGACAUCCCCGGCGCCCCGACGGAGGACGCGCCAAGCGUCGCCCUCGCGUUCGAGGCGAAGGCGAGCAGCAUCCCCCCGCAACACGUCGACCCCGAGCAGAUGGACGACGCCAGCACGCUCACGGAGGGCCUGCAAGACGUCGCCCUCGUACCGAAGACGACGACGCGAUCAACCCCCGACGUGGCUUCGUCGCUCCUCGUCGACAAAAAGGUACCGACUGCUCCCCAUCUUUCGUCAUUUCGACUCGACCUCAACACGCCUGGCGAUCUCGCUUUGACGGGCACUCAUGUUGAGGCGAGUGCAACCUCUCUGGGGUUUCGUGUGCGGUCGCCUUGGGACCGAUUGACGGGUGUCUCGACCUACGGACCCUCUGGGUCCGAGGAAGAUGACGACCCCAGCAUCUGCUGGGAUUUCUCCGGAUCUGGCAACCCUAGUGCCAUGCGGGACUUCAUGACCGCAUGUGACUACUGCCUCUCCGACUGUUCUGACGGCAGCCGCAGCCUUGGCGACAAGGACUGCGGCCCGAGCCGCGAAUGUUUCCACAUCGAGCUAGGGGAUCCCUCCGGAGGCGGCUGUCUCGGCACGCCGGAGGAUGGUGAUCUCCCUAGGCCGGCGCCUCGCGCCGACAUCCUGCGGGAGCUAGCUGUGGUCCCCGUUCCGGCGGGGGGUCACGACCCACAGCUCGAGCAAGUCCGCGGGGCGCAGGCCGGGCUCGAUGAGGGAGCGGGAGCGCUCGAGGCAAUCCGACAGAACAUCGGACAGGUAUGGGCGGGCCAGCCCCCGGCCGGAGAAAUACGUCACUUGCCCCAGGGUCUCCAACACCGCACCACCAACGAUGCCAGGGCCAGACUGCCUCCCGCGUCCGGCGGAACCGGUCAGGACCUGGCAGCGGCAGCGAUGCUCCUCCGCGCGAUGCCGGAGUCAUCAACCACCGAGGGUCGGCGAAUCCAGGGAGAACUCAAGCAUCUCCUGGAGGGCGCUGCGGCCCGAAAGCUCUGCCUCUCGAAGGCAGGGGUACCCCUCGGAACUUCGUGCCGCGACUUCCCGACCCGUGCGGGAAGCCUCGGUCUACACCGGGCGCACGCGCAACACCGCGCCUGCGGCCCCGGGCCACCUCGGCGACGAGCACCCUCACCGCGACUGCAGGGCUCGCCUCGACGAAAGGGUGCGCCGAGGCUAUCACCCCAGGCGUGGGGGACGCUAUGACAGUGGGGAGGAUCGGAGUCCCUCGCCCGAACCACCCGGUCCGCAGGUCUUCAGCCGAGCCAUUCGGCGGGCGCCGUUCCCGACCCGAUUCCGACCCCCGACUACUAUCACGAAGUACUCGGGGGAAACGAGGCCGGAAUUGUGGCUCGCGGACUACCGCCUGGCCUGUCAACUGGGUGGAACGGACGACGACAACCUCAUCAUCCGCAACCUCCCCCUAUUCCUCUCCGACACCGCUCGUGCUUGGUUGGAGCACCUGCCUCCGGGGCAGAUUUCCAACUGGGAAGAUCUGGUUCAGGCUUUCGCCGGCAACUUCCAGGGCACGUACGUGCGCCCCGGGAAUUCCUGGGACCUCCGAAGCUGUCGGCAGCUGCUGGGAGAGUCUCUCCGGGACUACAUCCGGCGGUUCUCGAAGCAGCGCACCGAGCUGCCCAACGUCACCGACUCCGAUGUCAUUGGCGCGUUCCUCGCCGGCACCACCUGCCGCGACCUGGUCAGCAAGUUGGGUCGCAAGACCCCCACCAGGGCGAGCGAGCUGAUGGACAUCGCCACCAAGUUUGCCUCCGGCCAGGAGGCGGUCGAAGCCAUCUUCCGAAAGGAUAAGCAGCCCCAGGGCCGCCCGUCGGAAGAUGCUCCCGAGGCGUCUGCUCCGCGCGGCGACAAGAAGAAAGGCAGGAGGAAGUCGCAAGCGAAACGCGACGUUCCCGAUGCAGACCUUGUCGCCGCCACCGAGCACAAGAACCCUCGGAAGCCCCCUGGAGGUGCUAACCUCUUCGACAAGGCACUCAAGGAGACGUGCCCCUACCAUCAGGGGCCCGUCAAGCACACCCUCGAGGAGUGCGUCAUGCUUCGGCGCCACUUCCAUCGGGCCGGGCCACCCGCCGAGGGUGGCAAGGCCCGCGAUGACGACAAAAGGGAGGACCGCCAAGCAGGAGAGUUCCCAGAGGUCCGCGACUGCUUCAUGAUCUACGGAGGGCAUGUGGCGAAUGCCUCGGCUCGGCAUCGUAAGCAAGAGCGUCGGGAGGUCUGCUCGGUGAAGGUGGCGGCGCCAGUCUACCUAGACUGGUCCGACAAGCCCAUCACCUUCGACCAGGACGACCACCCCGACCACGUGCCGAGCCCGGGGAAGUACCCACUCGUCGUCGACCCCGUCAUCGGCGACGUCAGGCUCACCAAGGUCCUAAUGGAUGGGGGCAGCUGCCUCAACAUCAUCUACGCCGAGACCCUCAGGCUCCUGCGCGUCGAUCUGUCAUCCGUCCGAGCGGGUGCUGCGCCCUUCCACGGUAUCGUCCCCGGGAAGUGCGUCCAGCCCCUCGGGCAGAUCGACCUUCCUGUCUGCUUCGGAACGCCCUCCAACUUCCAAAGGGAGACUUUGACGUUCGAGGUGGUCGGGUUCCGAGGAACCUACCACGCAGUGUUGGGAAGGCCAUGCUACGUGAAGUUCAUGGCCAUCCCCAACUACACCUACCUAAAGCUCAAGAUGCCGGGCCCCAACGGGGUCAUCACCGUCGGCCCCACGUACAAACACGCAUUCGAAUGUGAUGUGGAGUGCGUGGAGUACGCCGAGGCCCUCGCCGAGUCCGAGGCCCUCAUCGCCGAGUCCGAGGCCCUCAUUGCCGACCCCGAAUUUGGUCCCGCUCCUCGACAACCUGGGCGAGCUCCGACCGCUGCUGUAGCGCCUCCGUGCGCGCGGCCGCCGCCUCGGCCUUCAGGUCAACGCAGAGCAACUGGAGGUCCGCCAUCCUGGCGUCCUACUGAGACAGGCGCGCGGUAGCCCCGGCGAGUGAAGCCCUCAGAGAUCGCAGCGAGCCCCAGACGUCGGCCUCGCGGCGGAUGAACGACGACUUGGCGGCGCUCCGGUCCGUCAGAUCCUGGAAAGGAAAGCAAGACACCAUGACGAACGUCUCGCUCGCAGAAGGGAGAAGGUAUGCUUGAAACCAUUACCUGGAGGAUUUUGGGGACGUCCCCGCAGAGAACCUCCAGCGAUGAUCGGAGCAACCCCAUCGACGCUUCCGCACACUUGCGGAGCUCGUCCCAAGACCGGUCCUCUUCUUCGUCGUCAAGAACGAAGAUAGGGCCCGAAGCCUCGCGGGUCCGGAAUCGGAGCAACUGGGCCCGGGCCUCAGGGCUCCGCUGCACGGCGACAAGGCUGCCGCCCUCCCGGGAGCACCGCGCGUCCGCGCCCACCUCUUCCGAGGCCCCGGGCGCCAACGCUGCGGCCGUCUCGACGCUGGCGGCGUCCGGGCGCUCUCCGACUGGGACGGUACCAACUGCGGCAGCGGCAGACGCCGGCAUGGCCGACAUGGCAGGCGAGCUCGGGACCGCAUCGGCGCCGGCCGCCUCCCCGAUCACGAUGGCCACCUCGGCAGAGGAGCCCGCCUCGGGGACCUGCUCCCCCGGAACAUGCGACGCAUGAGCCCCGCGCGGCGGAGCGACCUGCGAAAGGGUCGGCCGAGCGGCAGGGCCCGAGGUGGCGCCAGCCGCCUGGACCAACGUCGUCUUGAGGGCCUUCCGAGGCGCCAGGUCGGUAGGGCCAUGGCUCCGUUUGCUGGAGAAAACAAGAAAGGGAAAAUCACGACCCAGACAUAUGAAUGAAGCGCCGGACGGAGACGUUCUAAGAUACUUACCCGCUCCGGACCAUGAUCCACGGUGUCUGGGGGGAGGUCUCUUGGCUCCCGCUUCCUGGAACCACUGCCGAGGUCCGCCUCACCAACAGCCCCGGCGCCGCCCUUGCCUCGAACGCCCCUGAGGCCUGGGAGGCGGACUGCCCAGGCGCCGCCAUGGCAGCCUGAGGACCGCUCCCCCAUGCUGCCGGCGCGGGCGAUGGUUCCCGAGGAACGAAACCCUCGGCCCGGCUCCCUGGAGUCGCGUCAGCUCCUCCAGCCGAGGGGUUAAGAACCCUCUCGGGUUGUCCCCGCCCCUCAGGACGGAGAUCCGGCGCCUCGGCUCCAGGGACCGACGACGUAGGCCCGCUCGGGGGCUGACUCGACGGCUCCCGGCCGCACCCCAAGCCGGGGCUGAGACCGAGACGGACGGCCAUGUCGUCCUCCUCCUCCUCGUCGUCGUCGUCGUCAUCAUCGUCGGACGUCUCCGGCGACAGCUCCCUGGGAAGUCCUUCCCUCUCCUGCUGGCGACGGCGUUUCUCCAGGGCGUCCCGAGCCCGCCUCCGCCUGCGGGCCCGGGCCUUCUCCGCAUCCUUCUUCUUCUUCUCCUCCUCCGCGGCGACUCGUCGCGCCGCCCGACCCACCGCGUCCUCCGGGACCCGCGGCAGGGAGGGUUUGUGCCAUCCCACCUCCUAAAAAGGGGGGAGAAAGAAACCCGAUUGUGAGAAUCAGAAGCAACCCGGUAUGCGAAGAAGGACGGAACGAACACUCACCAGAGCGACGCACCCCUGGUCGGGGCGCAUUCGAGGCUGAGAGAAGGCGUGGGGGUCCUGCUUCCCCAUCGCGGCCGACACCCGCCGGUGGAGGGCGUCGUGGGGAAGAGGAUCAGGGGACAUCCGUGACCCCUCCCAGUCGGCCUCCUGGGUCAUCUCCCAAAGCGACAGUCGCCGCUCCGCCAGGGGAAGCACCCUCCGGCGGUGGAUGGCGGCAACCACUCCCGCGACGGUGAGCCCCUCCUCCCGCAACGCCUUCAGGGCCUGGAGAAGGGGUUCGAGGUUCUUUUGCCUCUCGUGUGGAGUCCCGUGGCGCCAGGCGUUGGGAGCGGCGGUGACAAUCCGCUGAGAGAACGGCGGGAGCGACCCUCCGUCAUUCCGGAGGUAGAACCACCGGCGCUGCCAACCCUUGUUCGAGGAUGAGAGGACGGCAGGGAUAUACUGCAACGCCCGCGACUGCCUCAACAAGAGGGUGCAGCCGCCGGCCCGCACCGCCGCAGGGACCUUCCUCUCCCCCGUCGACGAAGCAAAAAGCUCGGCAAAAAAGAGGUGAGUCCAUAAAUCCCAAUGGGGGGCGAUCCCCAGAUACCCCUCGCACACCGCUACAAAGAUAGCGGCUUGCACGACGGAGUUGGGGGUGAGGUUGUGCAGUUCCACCCCGUAGUGGAACAGGAGGGCCCGCAUGAAGCGGCUCGAUGGCACACCAAAUCCCCGCUCAUGGAAGGAGAUGAAGCUCACUACAUACCCCGGUGGAGGGGACGGAGCGGCUCCGCCCGUGGGGGGAAUCCAUUCCGGCCGCUCCUUGUCGGUAAGGGGGCGGAGCAAACCCUCGUCGACGAGGUCCUCCAGAUCACCCGCCGUCACCGUGGAGAAAGGCCACGGGUCGCGCGGCGAGAUGAUGGUCACCCGGUCGGCCAUCGCCAAGGCAGAGAGGUUGGCGGUGUGAAGGACAGGGAAGGGCGGUCUCCUUUCCUGGCUAGAUCUCUCAGGCUGCAAAAAACCUGAGAGGGAGGCGAGAAGUGGAGUCGAAGAACCGUCACCGGACCCCCUCCGGGGCACAUAAAGGCCAAGGUCAAGACGGUUCCAACGCACCGCCCGGACCGGACGCGGGGUUCGAAAAACGCGAAGCGAAACAGCCGUUCCUCGAACGGCUCGCGCACGCAACGGCAGCCUCGCCGACCGCUUACCCCGGCGCAUUAACUCCACGGCUAGACAGGUGACGUGUCUGGCAGGGGGAGCUGGCGACGUUUCGCCUUCGCCAAAACGAACACGCCGAAAAAGGUACACCACGAUGUUCAAUUUCGAACCCUUUUUUCCCUUUUUCCUUCUUUCUCUAUCUCUUGCAACAGGGACCGGGAAAGAGGGUACCCUCAAAGGGAUCCUUCCCCGUGAACGAACUAGGCUCCGAGCCUCCCUACUGAUCAGGGGUUCGAAGGCUGGCCCCCCGAGGGGUUCAACAGCCGCCUCAGAUCGCGUGGGCCCGACACCCACUACUGGUCAGGGGUUCGAAGGUCGGCUUCUCGAAAGGUUCCACGACCGCCUCAGGCUACUAGGGCUCCGCGCCCAUUACUGAUCAGGGGUUCGAAGGCUGGCCUGUCGAAGGGUUCACAGUCGCCUCAGACGCCGAGCGAGGGAUGACCAGGGGUACGUUCGAUACAUAACCAAGGCUCGGGCUGCGCUCCCGAGGUACCCUAGGACAUUUCCGAGACCAGCGGGAACGACUCUGUAACGGAAUCCCAUCGGAGGGAGGCAACGAGCCCUCGGACCCCGUCGCUAGGGGACCGGGUCCGGCAGAUCACCCGCAGGUACUUUUGGGCGUGCCUCUGGGCCCCUAGCCGACCCCCAACGAACGGGGCACGGACGUCCACUCGGAUUACCCGAUUGCAGCUCACCGGAGACACCAUGUUCGGUGCCCAUCGAGGGAAACAUGGCGCACUCCCCCCCUCCUCCUUGCGGAAAGGCGACGUAGGGGCGUAUAUAAAAAAGCCGAGUCUGUCCCUGAUCGUCCUCUCGCUCCGUGCGGAGGCUCGGGGGCUGCUCUCGCAAACCCGGCUCCGGCCGAACCGUUGACAGCGUCAACAUACCAGCCCGAGAACUUGGGCCCCGACAGUGCACCUGGGCUACGCCCUGCUCGCAUGGGGGAACCGACCGGACCAGCCGAAGCAUUGCGCAAGGCAUUAAGACCUCGAAGGAGUGAAACCACUCCUCCGAGGCCUCGGGGGCUACACCCGGCGGGUGCGCUCGCGCGCACCCACCGGAAUAAAGUGCCACCGAGAAAGGCUGGUCCCCUUGCAAAAAAGUGCGACGCAAGCCUCCAAGCGAGUGUUAACACUCUCUUCGAGGCUCGGGGGCUACUGUCAGGGACCAUAAUUAGGGGUACCCUCAAGACGCCUAAUUCUCAGCUGGUAACCCCCAUCAGCAUAAAGCUGCAAAGGCCUGAUGGGUUUGAUUAAGUCAGGGAUCAGUCCAUACGAGCGACUUGAUCACGCCACGCCCGAGCCUAGCCUCGGGCGAGGGCAGCCGACCCUAAGAUGACUCCGUCUCGCCCGAGGUCUCCUCUUUCACGGCAGACGCAUCACCGGCUCGCCCGAGGCCCCGCCUUCGAUAUGAAGUAACCCUGACUAAAUCACCGCGCCAACCGCCCAAAUCCCUGGGGCCUUCAACGCAAAAGGUAAGACUGACGGGUAGCCAGGCUUGGCCAAAAGCGCCAGAGGAAACUCCGCCUCGCCCGACCCAGGGCUCGGACUCGGGCUAAGGCCCCGGAAGACGGCGAACUCCGCUCCGCCCGACCCAGGGCUCGGACUCGGGCUAAGGCCCCGGAAGACGGCGAACUCCGCUCCGCCCGACCCAGGGCUCGGACUCGGGCUAAGGCCCCGGAAGACGGCGAACUCCGCUCCGCCCGACCCAGGGCUCGGACUCGGGCUAAGGCCCCGGAAGACGGCGAACUCCGCUCCGCCCGACCCAGGGCCCAGACUCGGGCUAAGGCCCCGGAAGACGACGACCUCCGCCUCGCCCGACCAGGGGCUCGGACUCCGCCUCGGCCUCUGCCGACCGAUCUCCGCCUCGCCCGACCCAGGGCUCGGACUCUGCCUCUGUCUUGCAGGACGGACUCGACCUCAGGCUUCGGAGGAGCCUCCACGACGCCCGACCUAGGACACGAGGCCACCACGUCAACAGGAAGCGUCAUCAUCACCCUGCCCUGAGCCGACUUGGGUCGCAGGGGACAAGACCGGCGUCCCAUCUGGCCAGCUCCGCCAGAUAGGCAAUGAUGGUGUCUCACUAGGCCAUGACGACGGCAGCUCCCAGCUCCCUUACGAAAGCAGGGAGACGUCAGCAAGAGCACAGCUGUUCCAACAGCUGUCCCUCCGUCAAGCUCCAUGGCUUCUCCAACAGCCAUGACGCCACAUCAACAGGGUGCCAAGAUCUCUCCGGCUGCCACCUUGGCAUGUACUUAGGGCCCUAGCUCUCCCUUGCUAGACACGUAGCGCCUUGCUACACCCCCAUUUUGUACACCUGGCUCCUCUCCUUACGCUUAUAAAAGGGAGGACCAGGGCCUUCUUAGAGAAGGUUGGCCUCGCGGGAACGAGGGCAGGGGCAGGCGCUCUCUUGAGGCCGCUCGCUCCCCUCACCCGUGCGGACGCUUGUAACCCCCUACUGCAAGCGCACCCGACCUGGGCGCGGGACGAACACGAAGGCCGUGGGAACCUCCGACUCUCACACUCUCCCUCUCUCGACCCGGCUCCGGCCACCGACCUCGCUCUCUCUCACUCCCCCCUUCGCGCUCGCCCACGCGCUCGACCCGUCUGGGCUGGGGCACGCGGCACACUCACUCGUCGGCUCGGGGACCCCCCGGUCUCGAAACGCCGACAGGUCCUAUUAGUAACACCCGCUGAUCCCUGGUCGGCAUCGUUUAUGGUUGAGACUAGGACGGUAUCUGAUCGUCUUCGAGCCCCCAACUUUCGUUCUUGAUUAAUGAAAACAUCCA